rnacentral:rRNA from 1 species
GACGUAGGUGGCGAACGUUAUCCGGAAUCAUUGGGCGUAAAGGGUGCGUAGAUGGCAUAGUAAGUUAUUGGUGGAAAAUCGAGGCUCAACCUCGUGGAAGCUGGUAAUACUGCUAUGCUAAGAGUGCAGGAGAGGUUAACGGAACUCCAUGUGGAGCGGUAAAAUGUGUAGAUAUGACAUAGAACACCAAUUGCGAAGGCAGCUGGCUACACGAAUAUUGACACUGAUGCACGAAAGCGUGGGGAUCAAACAGG